CAGCGCAGCCGGGGAGCCAGCGGUGCCCUGUACCUGCAAUCCGCUACAGCAGGGGUGAUAUUCUGCCUCGGGUGGUUCCGGUAUUGCUGCCCGAAGUACCGUGGCGUUGACGUUCGGGUCUUACGCAACGGGAAUUUGUGAACCGUGUCAGGUCGGGAACGAAGCAGCACUAAGCAAAACCUCCCGUGUGCCGUAAGGUAGCCUGAAAAGAGCUACGAUCUUCGGUAACGGAUAUUGAAAGCAUUCAAAGCAGAAUGCGCUG
rnacentral:SRP_RNA from 1 species